UCAGAAAGAACCUGACAGAGGAGAGACUGUCCCCCUGCACUUACUAAGUCGUUUCUUUUCCCAAUUUUCUUCACCAGUGCAAACAAGAGCCAUCCAGUGUGGCCGCGGGGAGUUGAUAAAUUCCACUCCAAAGCAAAGAAGCCUAAGAAGGAGAGAGCAUGAUUUCCCUUUCGGCUUAGAACAACAAAACUAAACAAAGCGUAGUGAAAAUGUGAAAAUCGCUUUGAGGAUUCAUCACGUUUGUGCAUGACGGGAAAUGUGGGAUUUCAGACUGGGAGACAAUGAGACCAGUACUGGGAAACCUCUGUGUAUUUCAGAAAGUCCCUUUUUGGACAAAGCCAAGCCCAGACAGGCAGCUGUCUGUGAAAAGGGAAGUUGGGCGAGAUAUCCUUCUGUUUGCAAUCAGCAUGUCCACAAAAGGCUCUGAAACCCCUUUGGGAUCUGAAGUGCAGGGCUGAUCUGAUUGGAAAACCAGCACAUUCCACAGCCUGCUCUGUGUUCACAGUGACUACAAAACAAAGAAAAUGAGAGUCGUGGAGAGAGCUGAAGAAAGAAAGGAUGAAGGGGUGAAGAAACUUGUCUGCAAUGACUCGGCAAAGCUGUGAAUGAGAUCCAGGUACACAGGACACCUUACCUGUUUGUGCUUCAUUUUCCUCUUUUCUUCCUCCUCCUUUCCAUUAUGGAUAGAAAAUUCUGGUCCCAUGCUGAUGUGGUGAGUGAUAUCAAAGUCCCAAGUGUUGUGGCAGAGAGAAACAGGGACGUGGAAGCGCGGAGAAGGUCACUGAUACUGAGCUGUCAGGGUGAGCCCAGCUGAGUGUAGUCCCUCAAAAGGUGGGGGGGGCAGGGCACAGUGAGCUUCAGGUGACACAGUCCAGAAGCAGGUGAGCCGAGCCGGCUGGGCGCACUGGCAGCUCAGUGGUCGGCAUGCCUGGAGUGCAGAACGUGAUUGAAGGACUGCCAGAGAUCCAUCAGGAGAGAAUGGCCCAGACAGGGGUCUGGUAUGCCAAGCUAUGGAAUCUGGACUUCAUCCAUCACAGCCCAGCCUCACACCGUCUGUUUCUCUAUAGACUGACAGAGGGAAGGCGUUCCCAUAAGGCAACUCAUUCUCCCAGGUGUACAGAGAAUUCAGCUUACUGCCCUGCACGCUUGUAACUCUAUUCUCUGUUUUCCCCCAUGUAAGAAGUGAAACAAUCGAGCAUCAUGGCAGUUAAUGAGAGGAAUAACCCUAUCUCCAGUCUCGCUUUUCUUUUAAGAAGAAAUUACAGCUGAUCAUAUUUUAUUAUUAAUAAUUGUGACUUGUACAUAACGCAUGUCACACCUGAGUCUGGGUGGAGCUGCCCCAAACAAGACACUUCCUGGGGCAUUACGGCACCUGCCUGGCUUCCCUGUGGAGCCUUGUAGAGUUAACUCCUAGCAGGCUAAAAUCUCCCAGUCCUGCCUCUGAAUGCUCCUGCGGGAGAAAAUCCCCAACAGCUGCCAUAUGGGGAACUCUUCACACACCUCCCGCCACUGAAAUCUCUCUCCUGCUUCAGCUGGCGGGAAACCAAAGGCAGCGCUGUUCAGAGUACAAUCAGUGCAGUCACUUGUUAGAGAAGCAAAAGGGAGGAGGCAUCCAGAGGCCACGGGGAAUAAACACCAUCCAGGACAGCAGCAGAGGUUUCCAAAAGCACAUGCAGUGGCCACCUCGUGAAGUGCUUUUAUUUUUAAAAGAGAGAAGAAAAUAGCUAAAAGCAGAGAUUCCAAAACAAUAGGUAUUACAGAAGAGGAUGAUUCGUGUGGUAACUAUAAGGCUUCUGUCCACAACUACGGGAUCUGCCAGGACCAUGUGGCCCAGGUCCUUCCCCAGAAGCUGGAAACUUGCCUUGCUGGCUCAGAAACUGACCGCGAGGCACUGUAGUUCCAUGUCUGCUACUUUCUCUUUGAGCUAUGAGGGACCAGACUAGAGCCCUGUCUCUAGUCUGUAUGCUCAGCAGAGCUAGGUAUUCAUUAAGGAGACAGAGGAAAUGGUCCGUCAGGGCAUCCACCUCCUUGUUAGCAGUGUGGCUGGAAGCCAAGACCAUGCCAGGACAUGCUGCCUCAGCAGGCACAGGGAGGAGGCGAGCACAGGCUGCAGGAGCACCCAUGCUAUGAUGGAGCUGCAAUAACCGCAUAGAAAGGUCUUCAGUGGAUUCUGCUGGGAUGACCCUACUCAGCAGUCAACACAUACGCUCUUCAGUGGGUGCUCUCUGAGUUCCACCCGGUUACCAUGCCCAUCACACCCCACCACUGAGCAGGGCUGGAGCUGGUCCUAGCACCAUAGCCCUCGGGUGAGCUACAAUUAACAUACUGCCUGCCUUCUUCCCACCACGAAGCUUCCUCAGGUGAGGCAGGGUUAAGAUUGUGGAAAGAACUGGCUUUGGAGUCAGAAAAACCUGGGUUCAGUUCCUGGCUCUACCCCUAUUACUCUGUGGCUUAGAUAAAUUACUAUUCUCUGCUUUUUGUGAUACUACUUUCCUUCCAUGCACUUCCAAAGCUCCCUGCAUUAUGCUUAGCACAUUUUACUGUCCUAGCCAGCUUGUGAUUAUCCUCAGCUAGACUGCAAGUUCCUUAAGAAGCAGGCACCAUCUCAGGCUUACUCACAAUCUUAUCCCCAGGGUCUACCUACUCCAGUGCCUGGUACUAGUAGCAAGUCAACAAGUUUAUGUAGACCAAUACUGAAGCACCACCUCCAGGGAUUGCUGUGGAGUGUGCAAAGAAUUUGGUCAUGGUUUGAGUCCUUAAAAAAAAAGAAAAAAAAAAAAGCAGUUUCUCUUACUCUGGCCACUCUUCUUCCCUGGUGACCAACUGAGUUCUGCUGGAAUUAUGGCCGUCCUUGAUUACAGCCCACCACAUGCAUCUUAACAACCUCUCUGUUUGGAGAAUAGGGCUGGCCUAUUUCCCACCCCACUUGUGGCAUCAGUGGAAGGCUUGCUUCCAAAGGGUGAACCACUCUGAGUCAAGACACUGCUGACUAACUAGUCAGUCCUACUCCCGUGUCCCACCCAACACCAGCUAGCAUCGAGGGCUACCUUGGUCAUCAGUGCCAGCCUGAGUCACAUCAGGGUCCUCUGUAUUACUCUGGACAGGAUCUCCCUUCAGGGCAGGCCUGGAGCUCAAUCCUUACCUAUGUCCCAUUUACCAUCAUCGCAGCGGUAUAAUAAAAUUAUAUAUAGUUUUUAUCCCCAGUUCUUGGCACAGAAUUCAAAAUCCCUUGGAAUUCCCCGAGUGAUAGGAGUAUUCCAUUAUGCUGAUAAGGUGACUCCUGCAAGGCCUUGAGAUACUUCAGGAUGGGCUGAUCAUCACAAAGGCAAAGCACAUGAUUAAAGGGCUGGAGCUUUCAGCUGGGCCUCCUGGCCUCUGGGGAGAUGAGGUUCAAUCAUGUGGCCGUCGAUGUCAUCCAUCAUGCUAGUGUAAUGAAGCAUAAAUGAAAACUGGGAACAAUGAAUUUCAGGGACACUCUUGGUUGAUGGACAUAUUGACGUACUGACUCCACAGGGAUGGAAGCAGCUCCCACACCCUCCCAUUGGCCAUCUUGCUGCCCUAUAUAUCUCUUUAUCUGGCUGUUCGUUUAGAUGCUUUAUAAUUAAAAGAUAAUCACAGGUAUAGUGCUUACCUGAGUUCUCUGAUGUGUUCUAAGAAAGUCUGAACCUGAGGGGUCAUGGGAACCCCUAAAUCUGUAGUCAUCCAGGCAGAAGUGUGGAUUGCUUGGGGAUACCUGGGAUCUGAAGUGGGGGCAACCUUGUGGGACCGAGCCCUUUACUUGUGGCAUCUAUGCUAACUGGAUAGUUAAAUGUCAGGAAUGAAUUUUUACCCAGUUGUCGUCGGAGAAUUGGUAUCGAAAUGUAAUUACAGAUUCCAACGUUGCCUACCCAUCCACCAAGGAUACAGAACACCACCCCUCACAACUGGCAGGUUCUGUCCCAUAAAACCUUCAUGAACAGACAGCCACAGCAGCAGGUGGUAGGCACACAGGAAACAGAUUUAUUAGUUACAGUUCCUGCCCUCUAGGAGCUUAUGACCUAGGCUAGACAUGACAACAGGUAAUUUCAAUAAACAUAAAGUCAAAGGGUUGGAGUAGUAGAGUGUGCAACUGAAGAUAAAGAUGGGGCUAAAGAGAUGCAUUCCUAAAGAGCACAGCUACCAAAAUGGGCUAAAGACCUUGGCAGACAUGUCACUAAGGAAGAUAUACAGAUGGCAAAUGCACACAUGAAAAGAUGCUCCACGUAUGUCAUUGGGGAAAUGCAAAUUAAACAACAAUGAGAUACUACUACACGACCACUAGAAUGCCCCAGAUCUGGAACACUGACAACACCAAAUGCUGGCAAAGACGUAGAACAACAGGCAGUCUCAUUUAUUGCUGGUGGGAAUGCAACAUGGCACAGCCACUUUGGAAGACAGUUUGAAGGUUUCUCACAAAACUAAACACACUCUUACCAUCUGAUCCAGCAACCUCUCAAAGGAGUUGAAAAUUUAUGUCCACACAAAAAACCUACACAUGGAUGUUUAUAUCACUUUACUCAAAAUUGCCAGAACGUGGAACCAACCAAGAUGUCCUUCAGUAGGUGAAUGCAUGAAUAAACUGUGGUACAUCCAAGCCACGGAAUGUUAUUCAGUCAAAAGGGAAUGAGCCCUUAAAUGCAUAUGACUAAGUGAAAGAAGCCUGUCUUUUGAGUCCACACAGUCUUUGAGCCCACAGCAUUCUGGAAAAGGCCAAGCUAUGGAGACAACAAAAAGAUCAGUGGGUGUCCAAGGUAUGUGUGUGGGCAGGGGAGAGAUGAACAGGCAGAGGAAGGCAUUUUUAGAACAGUGAAAAUACCCUCUAUGAUAUUAAAAAAAUGAAUAUAUGUCAUAGCUUUGUCCAGACCCAUAGAAUGUCCAACACCAAGAGUAAACUCUAAGGUAAAAUGGACUUCGGGUGGUUAUGAUGUGUCAAUCAGGUUCAUUUUUGGCAGAAAUACACCAUUUUGGUGAGUAACACUGAUAAUAGAAGAGGUCAUGCAUACGUGGAUAAAGGGCGGUACUUGGAAAAUCUCUGUACCUUUCUCUCAGUUUGGUUGUAAACCUGAAACUGCUUCAAAGAAAUAAAGUCUUUAAAAUAAAAAGCACACCUAAG